GGGACAGACCCAGGACAGCUGACCCAAACUGGCCAAAGGGAUAUUCCAUACUAUAUGACAUCACGCUUUGUUUAUAACAGGGGGGUUGGCCAGGAGGUGGGACAGCUCAGGAACUAGCUGAGCAUUGACUUUGGGUGAAAUGAAGGAAAAAUGCUGUUGAUAAAGGAGGACCAAUUUAAGGGGUGACAGCUACUACUGGGGAUUUUUGUAAGAAGAUCUUCCUUACUCGCCCUGUAUUUUCUGCAGCUGUUUCAUGGACCACUGUCCUUGAACUUGUUAAUCCUUUUUUCACAUCAUUUCAGAACCUGUUACAGACAACUGUUUAGUGUUGGACGUGAACGUGAGCUUGUAUGAGAACUACAUCAUGCCAAACCACACUAGUCCUUUAACAAAUGGAGCUCCAGAACCAUUAUAAAUGGACAAUCCUUCUACGUUGAGAUUAUCUCCUGCUGAAUAUCUUAUACUGAUGCUGUAAUUAAUUCUCAGAUGAACUAGCCAAAUUUUCAGAAGUUCUUUGUGUUUGUAAUAUCACAAUAGAAAAAGAAAACAUAAUUUUUAAAGCUCUCCCUCUUUUAACUCUUUUUUUUCACAUUUACUAAUGUGUCUGUUAAUGUACUGACAUCCUUAGCAUAGGUAAUGUUAAAUUAGCUAUUAGGCUCAGUGAGUAACACAUCUGUCCUAGGACAGGAGUAAUUUGCCUUGAAACAGCAGUCAGAUCAUACAACUAAAAUUUCUGGAUGUUAAAUGGUAUGACCAUUGACAGACCAUACCUGUCUAAAGGCUCUGACAUAUUUUUGAAGCAAGCCUACAACACUACAAGAUAAUAGAAAGAUUUUUUAUUAUUAUUUAUUUAUCUAUCAAGACUUGGAUAGAAACCAUCAUACCAUGUUUUAAUCUAGUACUCUAGACUAAUUCUAGAGUAUUAGUCAUUAUUCUUGAAAAGAGUUUUCUUAUGUGUCUAUUAAUCGAGUGCACCCUCAGCAAGUUUGCCAAUGACACCAAACUGUGUGGUGUGGUUGACACGCUGGAGGGAAGGGAUGCCAUCCAGAGGGACCUUGACAGGCUGGAGAGGUAGGACCAUGUGAACCUCAUGAAGUUCAACAAGGCCAAGGGCAAGGUCCUGCACGUGGGUCGGCGCAAUCCCAAGCACAACUACAGGCUGGGCGGAGAAUGGAUUGAGAGCAGCCCUGAGGAGGACGACUUGGGGGUAUUGAUUGAUGAGAAGCUCAGCAUGAGUUGGCGAUGCACGCUUGCAGCCCAGAAAGCCAACCGUGUCCUGGGCUGCAUCAAAAGAAGUGUGACCAGCAGGUCGAGGGAGGUGAUUCUCCCCUCUACUCUGCUGAGACCCCACCUGGAGUACUGCAUCCAGCUCUGGGGCCCCCAGCAGGACAUGAACCUGUUGGAGCGAGCCCAGAGGAGGGCCAGGAAGAUGAUCACAGGGCAGAGGUACCUCUCCUGUGAAGACUGGCUGAGAGAGUUGGGGUUGUUCAGCCUGGAGAAGAGGAGGCUCCGGGAAGAUCUAAUUGCAGCCUUCCAGUACCUGAAGGGGCCUACAGGAAAGCUGGAGAGGGACUGUUUAUCAGGAAGUGUAGUGACAGGACAAGGGUUAAUGGGUUUAAGCUGAAGGAGGGUUGAUUUAGAUUAGAUGUUAGAGAGAAAUUCUCUACUGUUAGAGUGGUGAGGCACUGGAACAGGUUGCCCAGAGAGGUUGUGGAUGCCCCCUCCCUGGAAGUGUUUAAGACCAGGUUGGAUGGGGCUUUGGGCAACGUGAUCUAGUGGAGGGUGUCCCUGCCCAUGGCAGGGGGGUUGGAACUAGAUGAUCUUUGUGGUCCCUUCCAACCCAAACCAUUCUAUGAUUCUAUGAUUCUAUGAUAAUGCAGUAAACAUAAAAACCAGCAUUAUGGCAAAAAACAUGCCGUUAUUAAAAUGGUGAUAUCCAAUGUAACUGAAUGUGAAAUUUUAUCUAUGAAUCUUGAUUUAUUCAGCUAAAGAAGGUUUGUGUAUCUAGACUCAUGUUUACCUACUCUGGAAAACUCAGACUAAAUGUUUCAGCAGAACUAGGAGGUAUCAUUCCAGUUAAUCAUAUAAAUGUUUUUUUGUCGAGAAUCAUGAGGCUGACUGAAAUAAAAUAAUGAUAGGAAUGAAUUUUCCUGUAUAAUUUUGUAUGUUUUCAAUUGUAUUACAAAAUCAACCACAUCUGUGACUAAUACUGCUCAUAUGAUUCUGUCAGUCCUCUCCUCAAUACACACAAGUCUUCCUCUCCUCACAAUUUUGUUUUCUAAUAGACUGAUGAUCUUCAUUUGGAGCCAAAGAAAUUGGGCAAGGGCUUCUUUUCCUGGGAGCCAUUAAACUGUCUUUAAUUAGUAUCUGCCAAGGCCAUUAAUGAGUUUUCACCAGACAGUGACUCAUGUUAAAAAAAAAAAAAAAGAAAAGAAAAAAAAAAGAAGAAAGGCUAAAAUAGGCCAAGGUAAAAGAAACCUAGCAAGCAAACACCCUGCAGUGCAUGAGAGAUGUUGAAAGCCUCCUGUGACAGAAAAACAUCAUAGAACUCUCAACCUGAGUCAUUUAAUAAAGUUGUAGCAAUAAAAACCUGAACAAAAGCAAAAAAUGGACUUGACAUACUGCUUCAAGCUAUAGUUGUCUCUUCAUUAUUGUAGAGCAUACACUUUUCUGUACCUACUACAUUUAUGAAGAUAAAACUACUCAUAAGGGUAGGAAAAAAAUUACUUUUUUUUAGGUUGAUGCUUAAUUACUUUGCUCAAUAUUUAUUCAAC